rnacentral:rRNA from 1 species
AGUGAACGCUGGCGGUAGGCCUAACACAUGCAAGUCGAACGGCAGCACAGUAAGAGCUUGCUCUUACGGGUGGCGAGUGGCGGACGGGUGAGGAAUACAUCGGAAUCUACUUUUUCGUGGGGGAUAACGUAGGGAAACUUACGCUAAUACCGCAUACGACCUACGGGUGAAAGCAGGGGAUCUUCGGACCUUGCGCGAUUGAAUGAGCCGAUGUCGGAUUAGCUAGUUGGCGGGGUAAAGGCCCACCAAGGCGACGAUCCGUAGCUGGUCUGAGAGGAUGAUCAGCCACACUAGAACUGAGACACGGUCCAGACUCCUACGGGAGGCAGCAGUGGGGAAUAUUGGACAAUGGGCGCAAGCCUGAUCCAGCCAUACCGCGUGGGUGAAGGAGGCCUUCGGGUUGUAAAGCCCUUUUGUUGGGAAAGAAAAGCAGCAGGUUAAUACCCCGCUGUUCUGACGGUACCCAAAGAAUAAGCACCGGCUAACUUCGUG